UGGGGGAAUUUUGGACAAUGGGCGAAAGCCUGAUCCAGCAAUGCCGCGUGUGUGAAGAAGGCCUUCGGGUUGUAAAGCACUUUUGUCCGGAAAGAAAUCCUUGGCUCUAAUACAGUCGGGGGAUGACGGUACCGGAAGAAUAAGCACCGGCUAACUACGUGCCAGCAGCCGCGGUAAUACGUAGGGUGCAAGCGUUAAUCGGAAUUACUGGGCGUAAAGCGUGCGCAGGCGGUUUGCUAAGACCGAUGUGAAAUCCCCGGGCUCAACCUGGGAACUGCAUUGGUGACUGGCAGGCUAGAGUAUGGCAGAGGGGGGUAGAAUUCCACGUGUAGCAGUGAAAUGCGUAGAGAUGUGGAGGAAUACCGAUGGCGAAGGCAGCCCCCUGGGCCAAUACUGACGCUCAUGCACGAAAGCGUGGGGGAGCAAAACAGGAUUAGAUACCCUGGUAGUCCACGCCCUAAACGAUGUCAACUAGUUGUUGGGGAUUCAUUUCCUUAGUAACGUAGCUAACGCGUGAAGUUGACCGCCUGGGGAGUACGGUCGCAAGAUUAAAACUCAAAGGAAUUGACGGGGUCAUAGCUG
rnacentral:rRNA from 1 species